UACGUAGGUGGCAAGCGUUGUCCGGAUUUAUUGGGUUUAAAGGGUGCGUAGGCGGUCUUAUAAGUCAGUGGUGAAAUACGGCAGCUCAACUGUCGAGGUGCCAUUGAUACUGCGGAGCUUGAGUACAGAUGAGGUAGGCGGAAUUGACGGUGUAGCGGUGAAAUGCAUAGAUAUCGUCAAGAACACCGAUAGCGAAGGCAGCUUACUGGGCUGUAACUGACGCUGAUGCACGAAAGUGUGGGGAUCAAACAGG
rnacentral:rRNA from 1 species